rnacentral:rRNA from 1 species
AUUGAACGCUGGCGGCAGGCCUAACACAUGCAAGUCGAACGGUAACAGGAAGCAGCUUGCUGCUUCGCUGACGAGUGGCGGACGGGUGAGUAAUGUCUGGGAAGCUGCCUGAUGGAGGGGGAUAACUACUGGAAACGGUAGCUAAUACCGCAUAAUGUCGCAAGACCAAAGAGGGGGACCUUCGGGCCUCUUGCCAUCGGAUGUGCCCAGAUGGGAUUAGCUUGUUGGUGGGGUAACGGCUCACCAAGGCGACGAUCCCUAGCUGGUCUGAGAGGAGGACAAGCCACACUGGGACUGAGACACGGUCCACACUCCUACGGGAGGCAGCAGUGGGGAAUAUUGCACAAUGGGCGCAAGCCUGAUGCAGCCAUGCCGCGUGUAUGAAGAAGGCCUUCUGGUUGUAAAGUACUUUCAGCGGGGAGGAAGGGAGUAAAGUUAAUACCUUUGCUCAUUGACGUUACCCGCAGAAGAAGCACCGGCUAACUCCGUG